rnacentral:rRNA from 1 species
UACGAGGGGGGGCGAGCGUUGUUCGGAAUUAUUGGGCGUAAAGGGUGCGUAGGCGGUUUGGUAAGUCUGAUGUGAAAUCUAUGGGCUCAACUCAUAGUCUGCAUCGGAAACUGCCGGGCUUGAGUGUGGGAGAGGUGAGUGGAAUUCCUGGUGUAGCGGUGAAAUGCGUAGAUAUCAGGAGGAACACCGGUGGCGAAGGCGGGUCUCUGGCCGAUACUGACGCUGAGGAGCGAAAGCGUGGGAGCGAACAGG